ACAUCCCCUUUGACAACAUCUUUGUUCUACUAAGACAUCCAAAAUGAUGCCUCUAAAAUGAUAAUCUUGAUUUGCUUUAUUCAAUAUAUUGUAGUACAACCCAUAAUAAAUAGGAAUGAAGAAGGGUAGAGGGAAAGCCAUGAGGUUUUUGAGUACAAUAAAGCAUGGAUGAGGUGGAGAACCCUGCAGGAUCUGCACACAUAGUCAAGACAGUUAGUGUAUACGUGACAUCUUUCAGGGAAAGUGGGAGGGGGCAAGGGAGUUAACAUGUUUAAAGUAAUUGUUCUCAUAUUCUAUGUAGUUUUCAUAUCCAUUGCUCAUCCAUUGUACUGUACUACUUGCUUCAACUUGACUAUUUCAUUAUGUACAGAAUUUGCAUUUAGCAUUUCAGGUUGUUUUUCAACGUGUCCGUGAAAAUGUUAGUUCCUAAAUGAGGAUGAUCACCUUUAUUGUAAUAUGUAAUCCUACUGCCCAUGCCACUUCCUUUUAUUUCAUUUCUCAAUUAUGAUUUUCCCUUUAUCUGCAUGGGUCAAGUUCUUGGUGAAUUUUGCAAUCGUCUUCUGCUGGCUGUUGCAGAUUACUUUCUGGUGCCAUGUUUGAUGAGUUGGUCCUUGUUUAAAUUCCAACUGACCUUUCUUUGAAGCAUGUCUGUGUGGGGUUUAAGGGCAGAUUUGGGAAAGCUUCUCAGGUGCCGUUCUCAUUAGAACCAGAAGCCAGAGGCUCUUUUUUUUGGGCUUGGGGUGGGGUCUCGUGUUUGUCAGCUUCUGCACUAAAGGUUCCAAGCACGAGAAGCUCAUUUGAUUCACGUUUUAAAGCUUCUCAUCUGGAGAAACUGACUUCCAGAUUCUGAGCAGCAGAAAUUUGAGAAGCAUGGCCAAAUAUGGACUAAAUUUUUUUGGAUCUGACUAGAUAAAUGCCCAUGUGCUAGUUGAACCAGGACUCGGUUUACUACCCAGACGUGCCACAAUCAAGCUGGAGUUUUCUGGGAACGUAAAUAAAUUACUUUGAAGGAACUAGGCCCUAAUUCACCCUUUUUAACCCAUUUAGUUACAUUGUCUACUGUAAUGUUGACUCACUUCUUUGUUAAACAUCAUCAGUUCUUGCAGCCUGUGUUGGCAUAGAUUCAACUAGAUUAAGUAGAUUUCCUAAGCUUGAUACCUUGUGAAUUGUCCCCUGCAGGGAAGAUUCGUCUGAUAAAAACCGGAGAGAGUGUUAGCAACAUUUCAUUUGAUGAGCUAAAGGAAGGACUAUUCUAGCCAGAGAAUCUCAGCAUUACUCUUGAGGAUUUUUUUUUCUUGUAAAAAUAGGCUCUGCGGAAGCGUCAUAGUUUUGGAAGAACAAAUGUUCCCAUCCCCACCACCCUUCUUCACACCCUCCCUCCCCCCACUUUUCCUUGACUUGAGAAAAAUUGGUUGUUUAACCUGCCCAAUGAAUGCCAUUCUCCUACAAAAAAAUUCUUUUAUUGUUUUGAGCCUGUUGAUACACUUCCAUCUAUCACCAAAUGCAAAGGAGAUGUGGCGCAAUGAA